rnacentral:rRNA from 1 species
UACGUAGGGGGCAAGCGUUGUCCGGAUUUAUUGGGCGUAAAGCGUCCGCAGGCGGUCUAUUAAGUUUGGGGUGACAGUGCCCGGCUCAACUGGGCAAGUGCUUCGAAAACUGGUAGACUUGAGGGCUUCAGAGGAAAGCGGAACUCCGGGUGGAGUGGUGAAAUGCGUAGAUAUCCGGAAGAACACCGAUGGCGUAGGCAGCUUUCUGGGAAGCAUCUGACGCUCAGGGACGAAAGCUAGGGGAGCAAACGGG